rnacentral:miRNA from 1 species
AUCUAUUAGGUUGGUGCAAAAGUAAUUGCGGUUUUUGACAUCUUUUAAAGACAAAAAUCACAAUUACUUUUGCACCAAUGUAAUA